rnacentral:lncRNA from 1 species
CCAAUAAGAAGGAAAGUUGGACAAAACAAAAUUCAGUUUGAUUGUAAACUAAGUUCCAUAGAGGGGAUAAAAAAUCCUAAGAGAUACCAAAUGAAGCAAAAACUGGUCUCUCAAAGCUUGAUUGGACUGCAAAGAAAGCGAAGAAGGCAAUCAACACAAAAAGAAAUGUUAUGAGAAACAAUUUUUACAGACAUCCAUUACAAAUGUUAGCAAUCAAGGGGGAAACUCUUCAAAGAAUUCAUGAAGGAAGUCACUUAAAUGAAUCUCCAAGUUCACUUCUCAACAAACUUCUCUAUUGCCAAACUGGUAAAACAUAGGGCUGGAUAGAGAUUUUUAUGCAUAAUUUAUGUCCUUAUAAGGUCUCUUUUAUUCUCACGUCAAAAUUUAUGUCCUUAUAAGGCUCUUCAUCCUCUUUUUUUUCGGUGGGGAAACUCUUCCAUUCAUGUUUGUCUAAUCUAAGAAGAGAUGCCCAUUCUGGAAGAAUCAAAGAAGUGUACAACUAGACUUUCAAUGCAACAGUUAACUUCUCUCUUAUUUUCUCAAUCCAAACAUGCUCUUAAAGCCACUUUUUAAAUUAUAAUUCCAAUACAUAUUAAGGUUUUGUACUUAACUCAACGUUCGUGUUGAAAGCUGUGUACACCAAUCCACUAUCUGAAAGAUGUUUCAAUGAUAAAGCAACAACAUGGUCCCAACACAUAUAAAGACUAAAAUGAAUUCACAGGAACCAAAUGUGAAAA